AGUGAACGCUGGCGGUAGGCCUAACACAUGCAAGUCGAACGGCAGCACAGGAGAGCUUGCUCUCUGGGUGGCGAGUGGCGGACGGGUGAGGAAUACAUCGGAAUCUACUCUGUCGUGGGGGAUAACGUAGGGAAACUUACGCUAAUACCGCAUACGACCUACGGGUGAAAGCAGGGGACCUUCGGGCCUUGCGCGGAUAGAUGAGCCGAUGUCGGAUUAGCUAGUUGGCGGGGUAAAGGCCCACCAAGGCGACGAUCCGUAGCUGGUCUGAGAGGAUGAUCAGCCACACUGGAACUGAGACACGGUCCAGACUCCUACGGGAGGCAGCAGUGGGGAAUAUUGGACAAUGGGCGCAAGCCUGAUCCAGCCAUACCGCGUGGGUGAAGAAGGCCUUCGGGUUGUAAAGCCCUUUUGUUGGGAAAGAAAAGCAACCAGUUAAUACCUGGUUGUUCUGACGGUACCCAAAGAAUAAGCACCGGCUAACUUCGUGCCAGCCGCCGCCGUAA
rnacentral:rRNA from 1 species